UACAGAGGGUGCAAGCGUUGCUCGGAAUUACUGGGCGUAAAGCGUACGCAGACGGUAAGAAAGGUCGGAUGUGAAAGCCCCGGGCUCAACCCUGGAACUGCAUCCGAAACCAUCUUGCUAGAGUAUGGGAGAGGGAAGCGGAAUUCCUGGUGUAGAGGUGAAAUUCGUAGAUAUCAGGAGGAACACCGGCGGCGAAGGCGGCUUCCUGGCCCAUUACUGACGUUCAGGUACGAAAGCGUGGGUAGCAAACAGG
rnacentral:rRNA from 1 species